rfam:Triticum urartu cultivar G1812 contig486989, whole genome shotgun sequence.
UAACUACUCCCUCCGUCCCAAAAUUCUUGUCUUAGAUUUGUCUAGAUACGGAUGUAUCUAAUACUAAAACGUGACUUGAUACAUCCGUAUUUAGACAAAUCUAAGACAAGAAUUUUGGGACAGAGGGAGUAUUUC